rnacentral:rRNA from 2 species
UGGUGGGUAGUUUGACUGGGGCGGUCUCCUCCUAAAGAGUAACGGAGGAGCACGAAGGUUGGCUAAUCCUGGUCGGACAUCAGGAGGUUAGUGCAAUGGCAUAAGCCAGCUUGACUGCGAGCGUGACGGCGCGAGCAGGUGCGAAAGCAGGUCAUAGUGAUCCGGUGGUUCUGAAUGGAAGGGCCAUCGCUCAACGGAUAAAAGGUACUCCGGGGAUAACAGGCUGAUACCGCCCAAGAGUUCAUAUCGACGGCGGUGUUUGGCACCUCGAUGUCGGCUCAUCACAUCCUGGGGCUGAAGUAGGUCCCAAGGGUAUGGCUGUUCGCCAUUUAAAGUGGUACGCGAGCUGGGUUUAGAACGUCGUGAGACAGUUCGGUCCCUAUCUGCCGUGGGCGCUGGAGAACUGAGGGGGGCUGCUCCUAGUACGAGAGGACCGGAGUGGACGCAUCACUGGUGUUCGGGUUGUCAUGCCAAUGGCACUGCCCGGUAGCUAAAUGCGGAAGAGAUAAGUGCUGAAAGCAUCUAAGCACGAAACUUGCCCCGAGAUGAGUUCUCCCUGAGACUUAGAGUCUCCUGAAGGAACGUUGAAGACGACGACGUUGAUAGGCCGGGUGUGUAAGCGCAGCG